rnacentral:rRNA from 1 species
GAUGAACGCUGGCGGCGUGCCUAAUACAUGCAAGUCGAGCGAACGGACGAGAAGCUUGCUUCUCUGACGUUAGCGGCGGACGGGUGAGUAACACGUGGAUAACCUACCUAUAAGACUGGGAUAACUUCGGGAAACCGGAGCUAAUACCGGAUAAUAUUUUGAACCGCAUGGUUCAAAAGUGAAAGACGGUGUUGCUGUCACUUAUAGAUGGAUCCGCGCUGCAUUAGCUAGUUGGUAAGGUAACGGCUUACCAAGGCAACGAUGCAUAGCCGACCUGUGAGGGUGAUCGGCCACCCGGGAACUGGGACACGGUCCAGACUCCUACGGGAGGCAGCAGUAGGGAAUCUUCCGCAAUGGGCGAAAGCCUGACGGAGCGGCGCCGCGUGAGUUAUGAAGGUCUUCGGAUCGUAAUACUCUGUUAUGAGUGAAAAACAUAUGUGUAAGUAACUGUGCACAUCUUGACGGUACCUAGUCAGAAAGCCACGGCUAACUACGUG